UACGGGGGGAGCAAGCGUUGUUCGGAUUUACUGGGCGUAAAGGGCGCGUAGGCGGCACCGCAAGUCGACUGUGAAAUCUCCGGGCUUAACCCGGAAAGGUCAGCCGAUACUGCGGGGCUAGAGUGCAGAAGGGGCAACUGGAAUUCUCGGUGUAGCGGUGAAAUGCGUAGAUAUCGAGAGGAACACCUGCGGCGAAGGCGGGUCUCUGGACAGUUCCUGACACUGAGACACGAAGGCCAGGGGAGCAAACGGG
rnacentral:rRNA from 1 species